CCUAAUCCCUGCAGCUAACUCUUCACACAGUUGAUGCCAAGAAGGGGUAAUGAUUAACUUGCCUCCUAAUAAGGUUUAUGCAUCUCUGAAUACCCACUGAGUCCCC